rnacentral:rRNA from 1 species
UACGUAGGGUGCGAGCGUUAAUCGGAAUACUGGGCGUAAAGCGUGCGCAGGCGGUAAUGCAAGACAGAUGUGAAAUCCCCGGGCUUAACCUGGGAACUGCAUUUGUGACUGCAUUGCUGGAGUGCGGCAGAGGGGGAUGGAAUUCCGCGUGUAGCAGUGAAAUGCGUAGAUAUGCGGAGGAACACCGAUGGCGAAGGCAGGUCUCUGGGCAUUAACUGACGCUGAGGAGCGAAAGCAUGGGGGAGCGAACAGG